CUGUAAUUUGUAGCUAACAUUUCUAGUGGUCGGAUAAGUAAAUCCUCUCAAGUUCAAAAUGUAAUAGUACUGGAAAGCAACGUGUUUAACCAGAAGCAGCAAGACAAUUCUGAGACAAGCCUUCCAUACUCUAUGUACAAUAGGCAUAGGGAACUAUGUUUCCACACAACAGGAGCCCAGCACAAUCAAGGCGUGAUGAAGAGGCAGUGAUGGGGAGAGACGAGGGUACAAUGAGCACACAAGCAGCAGCCCAGGUCAGAGCUGGCAACUAGCAACUGGUGAUGCAACAAGACGAAAUUUUAAGUGCCGGACAUUAGCCUUGGGUGGUCAACAAAAUACAGCAUGAGGUGAGUUAGCAAUGGGAGGUAAGACAAGCGGUCGAAGGUCUACAAUCACCCAAUGUGUGCCAAGGCCUUAGAGGUCAAUCACUUGGCGUUCAUCUUACCUCUGA